GUGGGAGGGGGCUUGCUCCCGAUAGCUGUUUGUCAGUCACCUAAUGUAUUGACUGACCUACCACCAUCGGGAGCAAGCUCCCUCCCAC
rnacentral:misc_RNA from 1 species